rnacentral:rRNA from 1 species
GAUGAACGCUGGCGGCAUGCCUAAUACAUGCAAGUCGAACGAGAGGAAGGAAAGCUUGCUUUUCUGAAUCUAGUGGCGAACGGGUGAGUAACACGUAGGUAACCUGCCCAUGUGCCCGGGAUAACUUCUGGAAACGGAUGCUAAAACCGGAUAGGUAGCAGACAAGCAUUUGACUGCUAUUAAAGUGGCUAAGGCCAUGAACAUGGAUGGACCUGCGGUGCAUUAGCUAGUUGGUGAGGUAACGGCCCACCAAGGCGACGAUGCAUAGCCGGCCUGAGAGGGCGGACGGCCACAUUGGGACUGAGACACGGCCCAAACUCCUACGGGAGGCAGCAGUAGGGAAUUUUCGUCAAUGGGGGGAACCCUGAACGAGCAAUGCCGCAUGAGUGAGGAAGGUCUUCGGAUCGUAAAGCUCUGUUGUAAGAGAAAAACGACAUUCAUAGGGAAUGAUGAGUGAGUGAUGGUAUCUUACCAGAAAGUCACGGCUAACUACGUGCCAGCCGCCGCCGUAAUAC